rnacentral:rRNA from 1 species
GCGCGAAAACUUUACAAUGCUGGGAACAGCGAUAAGGGAACCUCGAGUGCCAGGUUACAAAUCUGGCUGUCGUGAUGCCUAAAAAGCAUUAUAUAGCAAGGGCCGGGCAAGACCGGUGCCAGCCGCCGCGGUAACACCGGCGGCUCGAGUGGUAACCGUUAUUAUUGGGUCUAAAGGGUCUGUAGCCGGCCGGAUAAGUCUCUUGGGAAAUCUGGCAGCUUAACUGUCAGGCUUUCAGGGGAUACUGUCUGGCUCGAGGCCGGGAGAGGUGAGAGGUACUUCAGGGGUAGGGUGAAAUCUUGUAAUCCUUGAAGGACCACCAGUGGCGAAGGCGUCUCACCAGAACGGACCUGACGGCAAGGGACGAAAGCUAGGGGCACGAACCGGAUUAGAGACCCGG